rnacentral:rRNA from 1 species
UACGGAGGGGGCUAGCGUUGUUCGGAAUUACUGGGCGUAAAGCGCGCGUAGGCGGCUUUGUAAGUUAGAGGUGAAAGCCCGGAGCUCAACUCCGGAACUGCCUUUGAUACUGAGAGGCUUGAGUCCGGGAGAGGUGAGUGGAACUGCGAGUGUAGAGGUGAAAUUCGUAGAUAUUCGCAAGAACACCAGUGGCGAAGGCGGCUCACUGGCCCGGUACUGACGCUGAGGUGCGAAAGCGUGGGGAGCAAACAGG